rnacentral:rRNA from 1 species
AGUAAAAAGUAGAAUAAUAGAUUUGAAAUAUUUAUUAUAUAGAUUUAAAGAGAUAAUCAUGGAGUAUAAGAUUAUAUAUAAAAAAAAGUUAUAUGUAAUAACUAUUAAUAGAAUUAGGUUACUAAAAAAUUUAAUAAAAAUUUAAAAACCUAAAGGUAAACCUUAUUAUUAAAUAUAUAAUUAUAUUAUAUUUUUAAUAUAAUAAUAACUAAGUGAACUGAAACAUCUAAGUAACUUAAGGAGAGUAAAUCAACAGAGAUAUUAUAAGUAUUGGUGAGAGAAAAUAAUAUAGUCAAAAAUAAGUAUUAUGUAAUAAAUAUGUAAGAAAAUAGGAUAACAAAUUCUAAGACUAAAUACUAUUAAUAAGUAUAAAAAGUACCGUAAGGGAAAAUAUAAAAAUGGUUAUUUUAUAAGCAAUCAUCAAUAUAAUAAUUAUAUUAAUGAUGUACCUUUUGUAUAAUGGGUCAGCAAGUAAUUAAUAUUAGUAAAAUAUCAAAUAUUAUAAAUAAAUAGAUAAAAAUAAUAUAUAUAAAAAAUAUAUAAAAAAUAAAUUUAAAUAAUUAAUUAAUUAAUUUUUAUUUAUUAAAUUUAAUUAAUAUUAAUUGACCCGAAAGCAAACGAUCUAACUAUGAUAAGAUGGAUAAACGAUCGAACAGGUUGAUGUUGCAAUAUCAUCUGAUUAAUUGUGGUUAGUAGUGAAAGACAAAUCUGGUUUGCAGAUAGCUGGUUUUCUAUGAAAUAUAUGUAAGUAUAGCCUUUAUAAAUAAUAAUUAUUAUAUAAUAUAAUUUAUAUUAUAUUAAUAUAAAGAAUGGUACAGCAAUUAAUAUAUAUUGGGGAACUAUUAAAGUUUUAUUAAUAAUAUUAAAUCUCGAAAUGUUUAAUUAUAUAUAAUAAAGAGUCAGAUUAUGUGCGAUAAGGUAAAUAAUCAAAAGGGAAACAGCCCAGAUUAAGAUAUAAAGUUCCUAAUAAAUAAUAAGUGAAAAAAAUAUAAAAAUAUUAUAAUAUAAUCAGUUAAUGGGUUUGACAAUAACCAUUUUUUAAUGAACAUGUAACAAUGCACUGAUUUAUCAAAAAAGUAAUAUUUCAAAUCAUAUAUAUAUAUAUUAAAUAUAUAUAUAUAUGUUUAUAGAUAAUAUACGGAUCUUAAUAAAUAAGAAUUAUUUAACUGAAUAUCUAAAUAUUAUUAUUAAUAUUUAUAAUAAUAAUAAUAUGGUAAUAGAACAUUUAAUGAAAAAAGUAUAUUAGUUAUUAAUUAAUAUAUAUUUAAUAAUUAAAUAGAGAAUGCUGACAUGAGUAACGAAAAAAAGGUAUAAACCUUUUCACCUAAAACAUAAGGUUUAACUAUAAAAGUACGGCCCCUAAUUAAAUAAAAGAAUAAAAUUAUAUUUAAGAUGGGUUAAACUAUAUUAAUAAUAAUUAUCUUAAAAUAUAUAUAAAUAUUUAUUUAUUUAUUUAUAUAUAAUUAUAUUAUAUAAAUUAAUAAAGAUCAGGAAAAGAGUUAAUGUAUACCGUAAUGUAGACCGACUCAGGUAUGUUAGUAGAGAAUAUGAAGGUGAAUUAGAUAAUUAAAGGGAAGGAACUCGGCAAAAAUAGCUCAAAAGUUCGUCAAUAAAGAGUAAUAAGAACAAAGUUGUACAACUGUUUACUAAAAACACCGCACUUUGCAGAAACGAUAAGUUUAAGUAUAAGGUGUGAACUCUGCUCCAUGCUUAAUAUAUAAAUUAUAUUAUUUAACGAUAAUAUAAUUAAAUUUAGGUAAAUAGCAGCCUUAUUAUGAGGGUUAUAAUGUAGCGAAAUUCCUUGGCCUAUAAUUGAGGUCCCGCAUGAAUGACGUAAUGAUACAACAACUGUCUCCCCUUUAAACUAAGUGAAAUUGAAAUCGUAGUGAAGAUGCUAUGUACCUUCAGCAAGACGGAAAGACCCUAUGCAGCUUUACUGUAAUUAGAUAGAUCGAAUUAUUAUUAAUUAUAUUCAGCAUAUUAAGUAAUCCUUAUAAUUUUUAUAAAAUUAUAAAGUAAUCGUUUAUGAUAUUAAUGAGAUACUUAUUAUAAUUUUAUGAUAAUUCUAAUCUUAAAAAAAAAAUAUUUAAUAGAUAAAUAAUUCUUAAAUAAAUAUAUUUAUUAUAUAUAUAUAAAUAUUUAAUAUUUAUAUAUAUAUAUAUUUUAUAUAAAAUAAGAGACAAUCUCUAAUUGGUAGUUUUGAUGGGGCGUCAUUAUCAGCAAAAGUAUCUGAAUAAGUCCAUAAAUAAAUAUAUAAAAUUAUUGUAUAAUAAUUAAAUAAUAUAUAUUAUAUAUAUUAAUUAUAAAUUGAAAUAUAUUUUUAUAUAAUAAUUUAUUAUUAUUAAGAAUAUAUUUUAGUAAUAGAUAAAAAUAUGUACAGUAAAAUUGUAAGGAAAACAAUAAAAAAGUUCUUUAAAUAUUAUAUUUAAUUGUUUAAAUAAAUAUAUAUAUUAUAUAGGAAUAUAUUAAAUAAUAUAAUGGUAUAACUGUGCGAUAAUUGUGAUACAAACAAGUAAAACAAGUACGUAAGUAUGGCAUAAUGAACAAAUAACACUGAUUGUAAAGGUUAUUGAUAACGAAUAAAAGUUACGCUAGGGAUAACAGGGUAAUAUAACGAAAGAGUAGAUAUUGUAAGUUAUGUUUGCCACCUCGAUGUCGACUCAACAUAUCCUCUUGGUUGUAAAAGCUAAGAAGGGUUUGACUGUUCGUCAAUUAAAAUGUUACGUGAGUUGGGUUAAAUACGAUGUGAAUCAGUAUGGUUCCUAUCUGCUGAAGGAAAUAUUAUCAAUUUAAAUCUCAUUAUUAGUACGCAAGGACCAUAAUGAAUCAACCCAUGGUGUAUCUAUUGAUAAUUCUAUAAUAUAUAUAUAUUACAAAUAUAUAAAAAAAAUAAUAUUAUUUUAUAAUAAAAUAUAAAAUUAUAUAUAUAUAUAUAUAUUAUCUAUAUUAAUUUAUAUAUUAAUAUAUUGUCAUAGUAGAUAAGCUAAGUUGAUAAUAAAUAAAUAUUGAAUACAUAUUAAAUAUGAAGUUGUUUUAAUAAGAUAAUUAAUUCUGAUAAUUUUAUACUAAAAUUAAUAAAAAUAUAUAUAUAGGAGUAAUAAUUCUCUUAUUAUUAUAUAAACAAUAUACAUAGGUUUUAUAUAUUAUUUUUAUAUAUACUUUAUAUAAAAUAUUAAUAAAAUACUAAUUUAUCAGUUAUCUAUAUAAUAUCUAAUCUAUUAUAUUACUACUU